rnacentral:rRNA from 1 species
UGGGGAAUAUUGCACAAUGGGCGAAAGCCUGAUGCAGCAACGCCGCGUGAGGGACGACGGCCUUCGGUUGUAAACCUCUUUAGCAAGGAAGAAGCGAAAGUGACGGUACUUGCAGAAAAAGCGCCGGCUAACUACGUGCCAGCAGCCGCGGUAAUACGUAGGGCGCAAGCGUUAUCCGGAAUUAUUGGGCGUAAAGAGCUCGUAGGCGGUUUGUCGCGUCUGCUGUGAAAACCCGAGGCUCAACCUCGGGCCUGCAGUGGGUACGGGCAGACUAGAGUGCGGUAGGGGAGAUUGGAACUCCUGGUGUAGCGGUGGAAUGCGCAGAUAUCAGGAAGAACACCGAUGGCGAAGGCAGAUCUCUGGGCCGUAACUGACGCUGAGGAGCGAAAGGGUGGGGAGCAAAACAGGCUUAGAUACCCUGGUAGUCCACCCCGUAAACGUUGGGAACUAGUUGUGGGGUCCAUUCCACGGAUUCCGUGACGCAGCUAACGCAUUAAGUUCCCCGCCUGGGGAGUACGGCCGCAAGGCUAAAACUUAAAGGAAUUGACGGGGUCAUAGCUGUUUCCU